rnacentral:rRNA from 1 species
AUUGAACGCUGGCGGCAGGCUUAACACAUGCAAGUCGAGCGAGCGGCGGACGGGUGAGUAAUGUCUGGGAAACUGCCUGAUGGAUGGGGAUAACUCCUGGAAACGGUAGCUAAUACCGCAUACCAUCAGAUGUGCCCAGAUGGGAUUAUCUAGUGGGUGGGGUAAAGGCUCACCUAGGCGACGAUCCCCAGCUGGUCGGAGAGGAGGACCAGCCACACUGGAACUGAGACACGGGCCAGACUCCUACGGGAGGCAGCAGUGGGGAAUAUUGCACAAUGGGGGCAAGCCUGAUGCAGCCAUGCCGCGUGUGUGAAGAAGGCCUUCGGGUUGUAAAGCACUUUCAGCGAGGAGGCGUUACUCGCAGAAGAAGCACCGGCUAACUCCGUGCCAGCAGCCGCGGUAAUAC